rnacentral:rRNA from 1 species
CCUUGCUACUUGGAUAACCGUAGUAAUUCUAGAGCUAAUACAUGCAGGAAUUCCCGACUUCGGAAGGGAUGUAUUUAUUAGAUAAGAAACCAAACCGGUCUCCGGUUGUGUGCUGAGUCAUAAUAACUGCUCGAAUCGCACAGCUCUACGCUGGCGAUGGUUCAUUCAAAUUUCUGCCCUAUCAGCUUUCGAUGGUAGGAUAGAGGCCUACCAUGGCGUUAACGGGUAACGGAGAAUUAGGGUUCGAUUCCGGAGAGGGAGCCUGAGAAAUGGCUACCACAUCCAAGGAAGGCAGCAGGCGCGUAAAUUGCCCGAAUCCUGACACAGGGAGGUAGUGACAAGAAAUAACAAUACAGGGCUCUCUGAGUCUUGUAAUUGGAAUGAGUACAAUUUACAUCUCUUCACGAGGAUCAAUUGGAGGGCAAGUCUGGUGCCAGCAGCCGCGGUAAUUCCAGCUCCAAUAGCGUAUAUUAAAGUUGUUGCAGUUAAAACGCUCGUAGUCGGAUUUCGGGGCGGGGCCGCCGGUCUGCCGAUAGGUAUGCACUGGCGGGCGCGUCCUUUUUCCCGGAGACGGCUGCUACUCUUAACUGAGCGGUGGUCGGAGACGGGAUGUUUACUUUGAAAAAAUCAGAGUGUUUCAAGCAGGCAGUCGCUCUUGCAUGGAUUAGCAUGGGAUAAUGAAAUAGGACUCUGGUGCUAUUUUGUUGGUUUCGAGCACCGG